rnacentral:rRNA from 1 species
AGUGAACGCUGGCGGUAGGCCUAACACAUGCAAGUCGAACGGCAGCACAGUAAGAGCUUGCUCGUACGGGUGGCGAGUGGCGGACGGUGGAGGGAUACAUCGGAAGCUACUUUUUCGUGGGGGAUAACGUAGGGAAACUUACGCUAAUACCGCAUACGACCUACGGGUGAAAGCAGAGGAUCUUCGGCCCUUGCGCGAUUGAAUGAGCCGAUGUCGGGUUAGCUAGUUGGCGGGGUAAAGGCCCACCAAGGCGACGAUCCGUAGCUGGUCUGAGAGGAUGAUCAGCCACACUGGAACUGAGACACGGUCCAGACUCCUACGGGAGGCAGCAGUGGGGAAUAUUGGACAAUGGGCGCAAGCCUGAUCCAGCCAUACCGCGUGGGUGAAGAAGGCCUUCGGGUUGUAAAGCCCUUUUGUUGGGAAAGAAAAGCAGCAGGUUAAUACCCCGCUGUUAUGACGGUACCCAAAGAAUAAGCACCGGCUAACUUCGUG